UACGAAGGGGGCUAGCGUUGCUCGGAAUUACUGGGCGUAAAGCGCACGUAGGCGGCUUUCUAAGUCGGGGGUGAAAUCCUGGAGCUCAACUCCAGAACUGCCUUCGAUACUGGAGAGCUUGAGUCCGGGAGAGGUGAGUGGAACUGCGAGUGUAGAGGUGAAAUUCGUAGAUAUUCGCAAGAACACCAGUGGCGAAGGCGGCUCACUGGCCCGGUACUGACGCUGAGGCGCGAAAGCCAGGGGAGCAAACGGG
rnacentral:rRNA from 1 species